GACGAACCGAGCGAACGUUGUUCGGAAUCACUGGGCUUAAAGGGCGCGUAGGCGGGUGGUCAAGUCCGGGGUGAAAUCCUCCAGCUCAACUGGAGAACUGCCUCGGAUACUGGGUGCCUCGAGGGUGGCAGGGGUAUGCGGAACUAUCGGUGGAGCGGUGAAAUGCGUUGAUAUCGAUAGGAACUCCGGUGGCGAAGGCGGCAUACUGGUCCACUUCUGACGCUGAGGCGCGAAAGCCAGGGGAGCAAACGGG
rnacentral:rRNA from 1 species